rnacentral:rRNA from 1 species
AGAGUUUGAUCCUGGCUCAGAACGAACGCUGGCGGCAUGCCUAACACAUGCAAGUCGAACGAAGGCUUCGGCCUUAGUGGCGCACGGGUGCGUAACGCGUGGGAAUCUGCCCUUGGGUGCGGAAUAACUCGGAGAAAUCCGUGCUAAUACCGUAUGAUGUCGAAAGACCAAAGAUUUAUCGGCAAAGGACGAGCCCGCGUAGGAUUAGCUAGUUGGUGUGGUAAAGGCGCACCAAGGCGACGAUCCUUAGCUGGUCUGAGAGGAUGAUCAGCCACACUGGGACUGAGACACGGCCCAGACUCCUACGGGAGGCAGCAGUGGGGAAUAUUGGACAAUGGGCGAAAGCCUGAUCCAGCAAUGCCGCGUGAGUGAUGAAGGCCUUAGGGUUGUAAAGCUCUUUUACCAGGGAUGAUAAUGACAGUACCUGGAGAAUAAGCUCCGGCUAACUCCGUGCCAGCAGCCGCGGUAAUACGGAGGGAGCUAGCGUUGUUCGGAAUUACUGGGCGUAAAGCGUACGUAGGCGGUUAUUCAAGUCAGGGGUGAAAGCCUGGAGCUCAACUCCAGAACUGCCCUUGAAACUAGAUAACUAGAAUCUUGGAGAGGUGAGUGGAAUUCCGAGUGUAGAGGUGAAAUUCGUAGAUAUUCGGAAGAACACCAGUGGCGAAGGCGACUCACUGGACAAGUAUUGACGCUGAGGUACGAAAGCGUGGGGAGCAAACAGGAUUAGAUACCCCGGUAGUCC